rnacentral:misc_RNA from 1 species
AAAACCUCACUAAACCUCCUUAAAAUUGCUACCAAAAUCUUCCUUGCAAGGUAAGGAUUAACUUUAAAGAAAGGACUUAGUGGAAAGGAUGGCUCCAAGUGGGUUGCAUGGAGCUUCACUCAAAUGGCCAUGGAGGUUUUCUCCCAAAGGAUUCAGCUGGUUUGCUCAAGGAAGAAGAUGAAGGAAUCUUCUGCCCAAACUGAUUAAAAAUUCCACUUUGAAGGUGUUAGUGGAGCACUAAGUAAGUUUAUUA